GACGAACGCUGGCGGCGUGCCUAAUACAUGCAAGUCGAACGAACUCUGGUAUUGAUUGGUGCUUGCAUCAUGAUUUACAUUUGAGUGAGUGGCGAACUGGUGAGUAACACGUGGGAAACCUGCCCAGAAGCGGGGGAUAACACCUGGAAACAGAUGCUAAUACCGCAUAACAACUUGGACCGCAUGGUCCGAGUUUGAAAGAUGGCUUCGGCUAUCACUUUUGGAUGGUCCCGCGGCGUAUUAGCUAGAUGGUGGGGUAACGGCUCACCAUGGCAAUGAUACGUAGCCGACCUGAGAGGGUAAUCGGCCACAUUGGGACUGUGACACGGCCCAAACUCCUACGGGAGGCAGCAGUAGGGAAUCUUCCACAAUGGACGAAAGUCUGAUGGAGCAACGCCGCGUGAGUGAAGAAGGGUUUCGGCUCGUAAAACUCUGUUGUUAAAGAAGAACAUAUCUGAGAGUAACUGUUCAGGUAUUGACGGUAUUUAACCAGAAAGCCACGGCUAACUACGUGCCAGCAGCCGCGGUAAUACGUAGGUGGCAAGCGUUGUCCGGAUUUAUUGGGCGUAAAGCGAGCGCAGGCGGUUUUUUAAGUCUGAUGUGAAAGCCUUCGGCUCAACCGAAGAAGUGCAUCGGAAACUGGGAAACUUGAGUGCAGAAGAGGACAGUGGAACUCCAUGUGUAGCGGUGAAAUGCGUAGAUAUAUGGAAGAACACCAGUGGCGAAGGCGGCUGUCUGGCCUGUAACUGACGCUGAGGCUCGAAAGUAUGGGUAGCAAACAGGAUUAGAUACCCUGGUAGUCCAUACCGUAAACGAUGAAUGCUAAGUGUUGGAGGGUUUCCGCCCUUCAGUGCUGCAGCUAACGCAUUAAGCAUUCCGCCUGGGGAGUACGGCCGCAAGGCUGAAACUCAAAGGAAUUGACGGGGGCCCGCACAAGCGGUGGAGCAUGUGGUUUAAUUCGAAGCUACGCGAAGAACCUUACCAGGUCUUGACAUACUAUGCAAAUCUAAGAGAUUAGACGUUCCCUUCGGGGACAUGGAUACAGGUGGUGCAUGGUUGUCGUCAGCUCGUGUCGUGAGAUGUUGGGUUAAGUCCCGCAACGAGCGCAACCCUUAUUAUCAGUUGCCAGCAUUAAGUUGGGCACUCUGGUGAGACUGCCGGUGACAAACCGGAGGAAGGUGGGGAUGACGUCAAAUCAUCAUGCCCCUUAUGACCUGGGCCACACACGUGCUACAAUGGAUGGUACAACGAGUUGCGAACUCGCGAGAGUAAGCUAAUCUCUUAAAGCCAUUCUCAGUUCGGAUUGUAGGCUGCAACUCGCCUACAUGAAGUCGGAAUCGCUAGUAAUCGCGGAUCAGCAUGCCGCGGUGAAUACGUUCCCGGGCCUUGUACACACCGCCCGUCACACCAUGAGAGUUUGUAACACCCAAAGUCGGUGGGGUAACCUUUUAGGAACCAGCCGCCUAAGGUGGGACAGAUGAUUAGGGUG
rnacentral:rRNA from 2 species